UUUCCAUUAUUUUAGCAAACACUAGAGCCAGCUGAACGGACCGUAAUUACUGGGCGAAAACACAACUUUUCUUUGAAAAUGACGCGGCAUCAAAGAAACUGUACUGCUGGGACUGUUUACACUUAUCAUGAGCGGCAGAAAGAUGCAGUGACUCAGAGGUAUUAACGAUGUCUAGGAGGGCAGCACUGUCUUCACGGGAUCUUAAUGCGGCAACAUCCCAUGAACAUCCCAUGAGCAAGCUGCCAGUGCCCUCCAAGCCUCGCCAGGUGAAACUGAAAGUCAAGCCGUGGACGAGGUGAGUUAAAAUACUUGUUAUAAUAAAUAAUUCAAAUGGG